rnacentral:lncRNA from 1 species
GAAACCGGCGAGAAGGGACAGCUCCGGGCAGGCUCCAUUGAGGAGCUACUCGGGCCUGGCGUCUCCAGCGCCCCGGACGUGCCCUCCCAGGCGCUCCGUCUCCAUGCUCGAGCGCAGACGGGUCCAGCUGCCUCGUCCAGCUUUGGCGGAGUCGCCGUCCCAGUGCCCGGGUCGCGCUCAGGAUUGGUUCGCGGGAGCCAAGGCUUGGCACACACAGUUGGAUUCACGGUGCAGGAAACUUAAGAGGCAAGAGAGGGAGGGAGCAGUAGAGGAGGAAAGAGAGGAAGACAGAAAGGGAGGGAGAGCAAGAGGGAGGGAGAGAGGGGAAUGCGCUGGACUGCUGCACCGGACGGACUGGGACUGCCAGCGCUGGCACCGGGACGAGCAGUCUAGGACUCUUGGCUUCCCACAGCUGCCUGAGGAUGGUGGAAAUGACUUAAGGGGAGGAGACUGGGCAAGUCCUCUGGACUUGAAGUUGAGAGAUAAGACUCUGGCCUUUCGGAAGAAAAGAGAACCACACGGCAGACGAGAGCAGUCCGAGUUUCUGAGGGAGGGGUGGGGUGGCGAGAAUCUGGAGCCUGCGGCACACGGAGCAGCUGUACCUCUACCCGCGACGCUGGGAAGCCCAGGAGCCUGUCCCCAGUGGAUUCUCGGGCGCUGUCCCUGGUGCUGCCCGGCCACCCGGGGACGCUCUGGAGCGCGUUGGGUUUCUGGCCGCCGCGGUGGUGGUGGUUUCUCCGCAGAGCCGCGGCUUGGCACGCCUACCUUCCUGACACGGACAAUUACUUUGGCACGUGGGUGAAUGAUUCCUCAAAGACUAAUUAGUACCCCAUGUAAACAGAUCCCGCUCUCAGGCUCUCGCGGGCUGGGCCUACAGGGAGAAGUGGCUCCCGCCGUGUCUUCGGUGGCCGCAGCGCCCCCUUCCCGGGGGGCGUAGGGAAGAUCGCAAAGCCCAGGGGAGUGGCGGGAAGAGCAGCAGGGAGUAGCGUAGGGCGGGGAAGGGCGCGGGAGGGUGCAGGGCGCCCCUGCCGGCCUCGAGCGACUACGCCGGGAGCCUCCGACCUGUGGCUGCCGGGCCGGAGGCGGGGGAGCAGCGGACUGCCAGCCAUUCAGCUCCAGACAGCCGAGAGGACUGGGCGACCUUGGGCUCUCGACUCCUCGCCGCCGGCUGGGCUGAGCGUGAAGGGGGAGGAGGAGAACGGGGGAUGCUUUGAGCCGUCACCACCUCCCUUGCUACUGACACCUCCCACUCAACCAGCGUCUCCCAGACCCGGCCUCUGUGCUCCAACUCUGGCUGUCUCUGUCUUUCUCAGUCUCUCCCUUACUGUCCCUUUUUCUCAGUAUCUUUCUCACUCCCUCUAUCUGUCUCCUUCUUCUGUCAUUCUUGUAGUUGGUGUCUCUGUCCCUCAGCAUCUUUCUGCCUUUUUCUGCCUUUCUGUGUGUCUCACUCAGGAUUUCUGACUCUAGGUCUCUCUAUCUCUGUGGCUCUACCCUGUCCCUGCCAUUCCCCCUCAGACCGCAUGUGUGUGCGUGUGUGUGUGUCUUCUCCACCCUUCCAGGGCACAACCAACAGAGCAGUUUCACCAGUCUAAGGAAACAGCCAGGACCAGCUUCUUCUGGUGCUGGUGGGGUUGCCAGUGCUCCUAGAGCUUGCCCAAAUUCAGGGCACAAAUCGGAGCCCGGAAGAGGGUAUCUCUUCCCCAACCUUGCCCAUUGCAUCUCCAAGCCUGCCCUUCAUCAGAGCCUGUCCCGGAGUGAUGCACAUAUCCAUAUUAAUCUGUAGGAAUUGUAUGGAAAUUUAUCUCAGGAACCUGAGUUAGUGGCAUCAAAAUCGAAUUGUGAUAUUUAAUGAGUCUGGAGUGUCAUUUUCUCAAGUGUGCCUGUGGACACUCUGGCAGGUCUGGGCCUAGAUACAAUGUAUACUCUAGACAAGUGGUCUCACGGCAACCACAGGCUGAAUUCCCUUGGAUGAUGGAGACCACCCCUCAAACAAGGCAGUGACAAUCAGCAGAGCUACCCUGUCCUGUAGCAGAGGCAAGAGGAGCCCCCCUGAGACCUUCAUCUCCAAUGACCUCCAAAUUAGAUCCCCACUGUAGAACAUACCUGCCAGCAUUUUGAGGCCUACACUCUCCCUUCCAGCUAAAAAUAAAUCUUUAAAGAGUAAGCUCUUCUAAUCUCAAAAGUUGUACUCUGCUGCUGUGACUGCCUGGAAUUCAUUAGGGAAUAUGCAGAGUAAGACAGUGAAACACCAGCUUCCAACUGGGUCUCUGAAAAUCCACUUUAGAAGAAAUACACAUGUACAUAUAGCAUAAUGGCAAUGUUUUCUUGACUAUUUUCACUUACCAGCUAUUUCAUUUUCUUAAAAACUUUAAACUUUAAAGAAGAACAAUUAAAGUCUUGGGGCACCCAUAUCUGAGGUCAAAUGGUCAACGUAGGGGCAAAGAAAGCUUUGUCUAAUUCCAUCUUCUAAGAUUCAUGAGGCUAUCCUAAAAUUGAUUCCUAUUUGUACAAGAGCUCCCAGGUCUCCCAGACUAGAGUGUAGAGCUGGAACAAAUGUUGCCUGCCUCUAUCUGGAUGCCCAGGUACAAUGCUGUCAGAGCUGAACUUCUGUCUGACCUUUGGGAAAAUGAGAAAGAAUCUGGCUAACUUUGGAACAUACCAAGUCCUUUUCUAAACCUUACUUUAAGAACAUUCUGCUUCUAGUGCCAUUUAGCCUAAAAAAAAAUACUGCUUGUGAAAUAGAAAGAUGAUCAGAGACCUUAAAAUCUCUGUCUGAAUGGGACUGAUUAUUUAAGAAAAGCACCACAGGCACCUAGUAAUGGGAACGGGUUUGACACUUUGUUCUAUGACACAGGGUGCCAAAGAGCUUUUUCUGUUAAUGACUUGAGAUCUUCUGCCAGGACAUUCAACCCUCACUGGAUCCUACAAGACACUUGGCCUGGGAUAUAAAACAGUGGCAGAUUGUCAUUUUUCAUAUUUCACAGGGGUCUUCAUCUCCUAUACUACUCAACCGGAAAAGGACACUGAACCACCAAGUAACACUGAAAAAUGUAUCAUUGUUUCUGCUAAACCACUCCAGUUUUAAUAAUAUAAUAUUGGGGGAGAGGUGGACAAGAAUGGUUCAUUCGCCCUCCUUUUUUUCCUAUCAUUUGCUUUAUAAAGAACAAUGGAGCAAUAAAAGCAUGAUUUUC